AGUCGAUCAUUCUCCAAGGCAUGGGGUUGGGGUCAGAGUUUUGUGUGACGGGCGCCUCCGGUUUCGUCGGCUCAUGACUCGACAUGAUCGAGACUUCUAGAGCGCGGCUACACUGUCCGAGCCACCGUGCGAGACCCUGCGAACAUGAAGAAGGUGAAGCAUCUUCUGGACUUACCGAAGGCAGCUGCGAACCUGACGCUGUGGAAGGCGGACCUCGAUGUGGAGGGAAGCUUUGAUGACGCCAUUAAGGGCCACGUCGUAGUGUUCCAUGUGGCACGCCUUUCAUUGGCGUGGCCACAUGGAACACUCUGGUGCAGCCCUUAAUAGCUAGUCGAUUCUCAACUGACUAGGGACCUCAAAUCUCAAUGAAACCGAAAGUUGAAGAACGAAGCACUAGUAUCUAUGAUCGGGAAAAUUUCAGAAUUUAUUUUAGAAGACAAUUUCAGAGAGAUAUCCUUGUUAUAACCCUGUACUCUGCAUUGCUUAAUCUAAGUAAUCAAGUUUUGUGGG